rnacentral:rRNA from 1 species
AGAGUUUGAUCCUGGCUCAGGAUGAACGCUAGCUACAGGCUUAACACAUGCAAGUCGAGGGGCAGCAUGGUCUUAGCUUGCUAAGGCCGAUAGGCGACCGGCGCACGGGUGAGUAACGCGUAUCCAACCUGCCUUACACUCUUGGACAGCCUUCGUGAAAAGGGAGAUUAAUACGAAGAUGUUAUCAUGAGUAAGCAUUUCGCAUGAUUAAAGGUUUACCGGUAGUAAGA